ensembl:snRNA U5 U5 spliceosomal RNA
CGACUCUGGUUUCUCUUCAUUACGCACAAGCCUUUCGCCUUUUACUAAAGACUUCCGUGGAGAGGAACACUUACGAGUUCAACAUAUUUUUGGAAGGGCUUGCUUCUGGCAGAGCC